CCCUAGUAACGGCGAGUGAAGCGGCAACAGCUCAAAUUUGAAAUCUGGCCCUUGGGUCCGAAUUGUAAUUUGUAGAGGAUGAUUUUGGUGCGGUAUCUUCCGAGUUCCUUGGAACAGGACGCCUUAGAGGGUGAGAGCCCCGUACGGUUGAAUGCCUAGCCUCUGUAAAUCUCCUUCGACGAGUCGAGUAGUUUGGGAAUGCUGCUCUAAAUGGGAGGUAAAUUUCUUCUAAAGCUAAAUACUGGCCAGAGACCGAUAGCGCACAAGUAGAGUGAUCGAAAGAUGAAAAGCACUUUGAAAAGAGGGUUAAAUAGCACGUGAAAUUGUUGAAAGGGAAGGAUUUAUGACCAGACUUUUUCUGGGCGGAUCAUCCGGUGUUCUCACCGGUGCACUUUGCCCAGUUUAGGCCAGCAUCGAUUUUCGGAGAGGGAUAAAAGCUUUGGGAAUGUGGCUCCUCCGGGAGUGUUAUAGCCCAUUGUAUAAUACCUUUCUGGGGAUCGAGGUACGCGCUUCUGCAAGGAUGCUGGCGUAAUGGUUAUCAAUCACCCGUCUUGAAACACGGACCAAGGAGUCGAACAUUUGUGCAAGUGUUUGGGUGUUAAACCCUCACGCGUAAUGAAAGUGAACGGAGGUGAGAGCCCUUACGGGUGCAUCAUCGACCGAUCCUGAAGUUUUCGGAUGGAUUUGAGUAAGAGCAUAACUGUUCGGACCCGAAAGAUGGUGAACUAUGCGUGGAUAGGGUGAAGCCAGAGGAAACUCUGGUGGAGGCUCGCAGCGGUUCUGACGUGCAAAUCGAUCGUCAAAUCUGCGCAUGGGGGCGAAAGACUAAUCGAACCAUCUAGUAGCUGGUUACCGCCGA
rnacentral:rRNA from 1 species